GAUGAACGCUGGCGGCGUGCCUAAUACAUGCAAGUCGAGCGAACGGACGUGAAGCUUGCUUCCCUGAUGUUAGCGGCGGACGGGUGAGUAACACGUGGAGAACCUACCUAUAAGACUGGGUUAACUUCGGGAAACCGCAGCUAAUACCGGAUAAUAUUUUGAACCGCAUGGUUCAAAAGUGAAAGUCGGUCUUGCUGUCACUUAUAGAUGUAUCCGCGCUGCAUUAGCUAGUUGGUAAGGUAACGGCAUACCAAGGCAACGAUGCAUAGCAGACCUGAGAGCGUGAUAGGCCAGACGGGCACUGAGGCACGGUCGCGACUCUGAAGGGAGGAAGCAGUAGGGAAUCCUACGCAAUGGGGGAAAGCCGGAUGGAGCACCGCCGCGUGAGUGAUGAAGGUCCUCGGAUCGUAGAACUAUGUUAGUAGUGAAGAACAUAUGUGUAAGUAACUGGGCACAUCUUGACGGUACCAAAUAAGAAAGCCACGGCUAACUACGUG
rnacentral:rRNA from 1 species